rnacentral:rRNA from 1 species
AAACAUGUCUCUUUGAAAUUAUUUAAUAAAGAGUUGGGCCUGCUCAAUGAUUAAUAUUAAAUAGCUGCGGUAUUAUAACUGUACUAAGGUAGCAUAAUAAUUUGCCUUAUAAAUUAAGGCUAGAAUGAAUGGUUUGACGAGAAUUAGACUGUCUCUAUUUUAUUUAAUAGAAAUUAAUUUUUAUAGUGAAAAAGCUUGAAUAUAUUAAAGGGACGAGAAGACCCUAUUGAGCUUAAAAUUGUUAUGGAAAAUAUUAAUAAUAUUUAAUUAAUAUUAUUAGUUUAUUUAUAUUUGUCAAUGUAAUUUUGAUUGGGGUGAUCAAGGAAGAAUAAAUUUAAUAACUUCCUUAAAUUUAUAUAUAUAUAAAUUAAUAAACCAUAGUUUUGCUUAGAAGAUAAGUUACCAUAGGGAUAACAGCGUAAUUUUUUUUGAGAGUUCAUAUUGAGAAAAAAGAUUGCGACCUCGAUGUUGGAUUAAAUAUAACCUUAAGGUGAAGAAGCUUUAUUGGGUGAAUCUGUUCGAUUUUUAAAAUUUUACAUGAUC